GAUUUUCCGGUUGAUCCUGCCGGACCCGACUGCUAUCAGAGUGGGACUAAGCCAUGCGAGUCAACAUAGCAAUAUGUGGCAUACGGCUCAGUAACACGUAGUCAACAUGCCCAGGGGACAUGGAUAACCUCGGGAAACUGAGGAUAAACCGCGAUAGGUCAUCACUUCUGGAAUGGGUAAUGACUUAAAUCUAUAUGGCCCCUGGAUUGGACUGCGGCCGAUCAGGCUGUUGGUGAGGUAAUGGCCCACCAAACCUGUAACCGGUACGGGCUCUGAGAGGAGGAGCCCGGAGAUGGGCACUGAGACAAGGGCCCAGGCCCUAUGGGGCGCAGCAGGCGCGAAACCUCUGCAAUAGGCGAAAGCUUGACAGGGUUACUCUGAGUGAUUUCCGUUAAGGAGAUCUUUUGGCACCUCUAAAAAUGGUGCAGAAUAAGGGGUGGGCAAGUCUGGUGUCAGCCGCCGCGGUAAUACCAGCACCCCGAGUGGUCGGGACGUUUAUUUGGCCUAAAGCAUCCGUAGCCGGUUCUACAAGUCUUCCGUUAAAUCCACCUGCUUAACAGAUGGGCUGCGGAAGAUACUAUAGAGCUAGGAGGCGGGAGAGGCAAGCGGUACUCGAUGGGUAGGGGUAAAAUCCGUUGAUCCAUUGAAGACCACCAGUGGCGAAGGCGGCUUGCCAGAACGCGCUCGACGGUGAGGGAUGAAAGCUGGGGGAGCAAACCGGAUUAGAUACCCGGGUAGUCCCAGCUGUAAACGAUGCAGACUCGGUGAUGAGUUGGCUUAUUGCUAACUCAGUGCCGCAGGGAAGCCGUUAAGUUUGCCGCCUGGGGAGUACGGUCGCAAGACUGAAACUUAAAGGAAUUGGCGGGGGAGCACCACAAGGGGUGAAGCCUGCGGUUCAAUUGGAUUCAACGCCGGAAAU
rnacentral:rRNA from 1 species